rnacentral:rRNA from 1 species
UGGGCGCAAGCCUGAUCCAGCAAUGCCGCGUGUGUGAAGAAGGCCUUCGGGUUGUAAAGCACUUUUAUCAGGAGCGAAACGCUGUCGGCUAAUAACCGGCGGAACUGACGGUACCUGAGGAAUAAGCACCGGCUAACUUCGUGCCAGCAGCCGCGGUAAUACGAAGGGUGCAAGCGUUAAUCGGAAUUACUGGGCGUAAAGCGUGCGUAGGCGGUUAUUUAAGUCUGUUGUGAAAUCCCCGGGCUCAACCUGGGAAUGGCAAUGGAUACUGGAUAGCUAGAGUGUGAUAGAGGAUGGUGGAAUUCCCGGUGUAGCGGUGAAAUGCGUAGAGAUCGGGAGGAACAUCAGUGGCGAAGGCGGCCAUCUGGAUCAACACUGACGCUGAGGCACGAAAGCGUGGGGAGCAAACAGGAUUAGAUACCCUGGUAGUCCACGCCCUAAACGAUGCGAACUGGAUGUUGGUCUCAACUCGGAGAUCAGUGUCGAAGCUAACGCGUUAAGUUCGCCGCCUGGGGAGUACGGUCGCAAGACUG